GGAUGCGAUCAUACCAGCACUAAAGCACCGGAUCCCAUCAGAACUCCGAAGUUAAGCGUGCUUGGGCGAGAAUAGUACUAGGAUGGGUGACCUCCAGGGAAGUCCUCGUGUUGCAUUCC
rnacentral:rRNA from 1 species